UGAUGAAAUUACAUUACGAUUAGGUUACACAGGUGUUGUUAAUCGAUCCACAGCUGACAUAAAACAGGGUAAAAGUAUAGCUGAGUCUUUAAAAAGUGAAUUAGCUUUUUUUCAAAAUCAUCCCAUAUAUAAAAAAUUACCACCAACAUUAUAUGGAACUGCAUCUUUAACAGAUAAAUUAACAAAGGUAUUGUUAAGACAUAUAAAAAACAUUUUACCUGAUAUUAAAUUCGAAAUAAAUGAUAAAAUUCGUUUAAUAAAUGAAAAGUUAUAUGAAUUAGGUACAAAUGUCCCUUUAGAUGCAAAUAAAAAAACACAAUUAUUAUGGUCUAUGAUAACAGAUUAUUGUGAAAUUUUUAAAAAUACAUUAAAAGGAAAAUAUGAUAAACGAUUACAAGUAUUUAUAGAAAAUAAUGACAUUAUAUGUGGCCUUAAGGUACGUACUAUUUUUAAUGAAUUUUUAGAUGAGUAUGUAGGAGUAAAUGCAACAAGUGAAUUAACUGACUAUGACAUAGAUGAUGCUAUUUGUUUGCAUGAAGGGGAUAGUUUACCUGGUUUCCCAUCACCUGAUACUUUUGAAUUUUUAAUAUUACCACAUUUAAAAAAAAUACAUGGUCCUGUAUUUAAUUGUUUAGAUAAGGUUAGUCAAACAUUAGAAAUAUUGUCACAAAAAAUAGCUACUCGAAUAUUAAAUAGAUUUCCACAAUUGUCAGAACAAGUACUAGAGUUAUCACAAACUAUUUUGAUUAGAGAAAAAGAAAAUACGCGUAUUAUUUUGGAAAAUUUUAUCGAAGCUGAGACAAAUUAUUUAUUUACUAAUGAUGCUUCUUAUCUUAUUGAACAUGGAAGUAUUAUUAAUUCUAAUGACGAUGAAUCAAACGAAGUAACAAACCAAGAUUAUAACAACAGUAGUAAUACUAACAUGUAUAGUAGAAAUCCAAAUAAAAAAAUGGUGCCUGGAUUAAUAAACUCGAACCAUGAUAAUAUGAAUAAUAAUACUAACAAUAUAACGAACAUAAAUAAUAGUAGUAGUGGUAAUAUGAAUAGUAAUAGUAGUAAU
rnacentral:lncRNA from 1 species